rnacentral:rRNA from 1 species
AAUGGGGGCAACCCUGAUCCAGCCAUGCCGCGUGAGUGAAGAAGGCCUUCGGGUUGUAAAGCUCUUUCGGCCGGGAAGAAAUCGCCAUCUCUAAUAUAGGUGGUGGAUGACGGUACCGGAAUAAGAAGCACCGGCUAACUACGUGCCAGCAGCCGCGGUAAUACGUAGGGUGCGAGCGUUAAUCGGAAUUACUGGGCGUAAAGCGUGCGCAGGCGGUUUUGUAAGACAGGCGUGAAAUCCCCGGGCUCAACCUGGGAACUGCGCUUGUGACUGCAUCACUAGAGUACGGCAGAGGGGGGUGGAAUUCCACGUGUAGCAGUGAAAUGCGUAGAGAUGUGGAGGAACACCGAUGGCGAAGGCAGCCCCCUGGGCCGAUACUGACGCUCAUGCACGAAAGCGUGGGGAGCAAA